CUACGGGUCGCAGCAGUGGGGAAUAUUGGACAAUGGGGGAAACCCUGAUCCAGCAAUGCCGCGUGUGUGAAGAAGGCCUGCGGGUUGUAAAGCACUUUCGGUUGGGAGGACUGCUUCUAGCACUAAUAUUGUUGGAAGUUGACGUUACCUUCAGAAGGAGCACCGGCUAACUCCGUGCCAGCAGCCGCGGGUAAUACGGAGGGUGCAAGCGUUAAUCGGAAUUACUGGGCGUAAAGCGCGCGUAGGCGGCUAGAUCAGUCGGGUGUGAAAGCCCCGGGCUUAACCUGGGAACUGCAUCCGAUACUUUCUAGCUUGAGUACAGGAGAGGAGAGUGGAAUUCCACAUGUAGCGGUGAGAUGCGUAGAUAUGUGGAGGAACACCAAUGGCGAAGGCAGCUCUCUGGCCUGAUACUGACGCUGAGGUGCGAAAGCGUGGGGAGCAAACAGGAUUAGAUACCCCCGUAGUC
rnacentral:rRNA from 1 species